CAAGUCGAACGGGAAAGUGGGGCAACCCAUGAGUACAGUGGCGUACGGGCUGUAGUAACACGUGGAUGAUCUACCUCUUAGUGGGGAAUAACCCUUUGGAAACCGGGGCUAAUACCGCAUAAGCUCGGGAGAGGAAAGCAGCAAUGCGCUGAGAGAGGAGUCCGCGGCCGAUUAGCUAGUUGGUAGGGUAAAAGCCUACCAAGGCAAAGAUCGGUAGCCGGCCUGAGAGGGCACACGGCCACACUGGCACUGAAACACGGGCCAGACUCCUACGGGAGGCAGCAGUGGGGAAUCUUGCACAAUGGGGGCAACCCUGAUGCAGCGACGCCGCGUGAGCGAUGAAGCCCUUCGGGGUGUAAAGCUCUUUCGGCAGGGAAGAUAAUGACGGUACCUGCAGAAGCAGCUGCGGCUAACUACGUGCCAGCAGCCGCGGUAAUACGUAGGCAGCGAGCGUUGUUCGGAGUUACUGGGCGUAAAGGGUGUGUAGGCGGUUGCUUAAGUUUGGUGUGAAAUCUCCCGGCUCAACUGGGAGGGUGCGCCGAAUACUGAGUGACUCGAGUGCGGGAGAGGAGAGUGGAAUUCCUGGUGUAGCGGUGAAAUGCGUAGA
rnacentral:rRNA from 1 species